UACGUAGGGCGCAAGCGUUGUCCGGAAUUAUUGGGCGUAAAGAGCUCGUAGGCGGUUUGUCGCGUCUGCUGUGAAAACCUAAGGCUCAACCUUGGGCUUGCAGUGGGUACGGGCAGACUAGAGUGCGGUAGGGGUGACUGGAAUUCCUGGUGUAGCGGUGGAAUGCGCAGAUAUCAGGAGGAACACCGGUGGCGAAGGCGGGUCUCUGGGCAGUAACUG
rnacentral:rRNA from 1 species